rnacentral:tRNA from 1 species
CCGUUGGUCAAGCGGUUAAGACACCGCCCUUUCACGGCGGUAACACGGGUUCGAAUCCCGUACGGGUCA